UACGUAGGGUGCGAGCGUUGUCCGGAAUUAUUGGGCGUAAAGAGCUCGUAGGCGGUUCGUCGCGUCUGCUGUGAAAUCCCGAGGCUCAACCUCGGGCCUGCAGUGGGUACGGGCGAACUAGAGUGCAGUAGGGGAGACUGGAAUUCCUGGUGUAGCGGUGGAAUGCGCAGAUAUCAGGAGGAACACCGAUGGCGAAGGCAGGUCUCUGGGCUGUAACUGACGCUGAGGAGCGAAAGCGUGGGGAGCGAACAGG
rnacentral:misc_RNA from 1 species